rnacentral:rRNA from 1 species
GUGAACCUGCGGAAGGAUCAUUAGUGAAUUAUAGGGCGUCUACUUGUAGAGCCUGACCUCCACUUCUAACACUGUGCACUUGAUGGCGAGGUAAUGGAACUUUCGAGUGAAACUACCUUGCGGCUUCAUUUUAAACAUUAGUCAAAGUAUGUAAUGAAAUAAAAAACAAAAAAAAACUUUCAACAACGGAUCUCUUGGCUCUCGCAUCGAUGAAGAACGCAGCGAAAUGUGAUAAGUAAUGUGAAUUGCAGAAUUCAGUGAAUCAUCGAAUCUUUGAACGCACCUUGCGCUCCCUGGUAUUCCGGGGAGCAUGCCUGUUUGAGUGUCAUGAACUCUUCAACCCACCAGUUUCUAGUAGACUGCGUUGGUGUUUGGAUUUUGAGCGUUGCUAGUCUGACUAGCUCGUUCGUAAUAUAUUAGCAUCUCUAAUUCGAAUUCGGAUUGACUCAGUGUAAUAGACUAUUCGCUGAGGACACUUUUAUUAGUGGCCGUACUAGAACCAGUAGAAGCUUCCAACUAUUGUAGUCAACUUUAAUUUAGACCUCAGAUCAGGCAGGAUUACCCGCUGAACUUAAGCAUAUCAAUAAGCGGAGA